rnacentral:misc_RNA from 1 species
AUUUCUACUAUUGUAGAUUGGAGCAACACCUGAAGAAGGCU